AAAUAAGAAGUUGUAAACUCGCACAGGACAUUCCGAUGCUUACUUGCGCUUCCCCUUCUUUGGAAUCGGACUGACUUGAUGAUACUGCCUCCACUGCCUCUGCUUUAGUGUAAUUAUUAUUAUUAGUAGUAGUUGCCUGGCCUCAAUUGAAUCUGGAUCAUACCUUAUUCUUAUUAGUCAUACAAGGAAUGCGGGUACAGGAUAAGAAACAUAAGUUUGAUAUGAAGCAGUUAGGUAACAACAUUCUCUCAGUGGUGCUCGAUAGGUCCCAGUUAAGCAAAGUAGUAGGUACCAUGGAAUCGAAUCUUCAAUGCCAAUAAAGUAUACUCGUCUUAGUAGCUAUAGUAUUGGAAGCAAUGUUGCUAAUGUUGCUAAGGGAAUCAAGAUCUUACUUAGUUGAAAUAGAUGAAGCAGCUACCGAUGUUGGAUACCUUACUUAGUCCUUGCCUUACUUAGUAGAAUUUCAGGUAAGCAGAUUACUAUGGAUCAUAAGCUAGAGAAUCACCGUCUUGACUUUCUUAUAUACCAAAUGUGACUUAUCGAAAUUAUGACUUUAGAGCUUCACUUUCACUGUCAACAACUUUCCCUUUAGCAGAGUGAACUCAACGAGUCAUUUGAACUCAAAAGCUUAGAGCCGAGUCAAGCAGGAAUCUUUUUAGCACAGAAGAUCUUUUCUCUCUUAUAACUCGAACGUAACUUGAUUUCCCUCCCGCUUCUAAGCCAACACUGAAAACUAUAACUUCGAUUGCUGAACCGACAAGAGAGUCAACUUGAAGUGAAGCUGACCUCUUCAGAGUUUGUAUUAGUUAUAAACGAGUCCUUAUUUAGCCGGUAUUUGAGUCCUGUAUUUGUAGAGUAGUUGGCUUGAGCACCUGAUUUAGAUACGAGUAACAACUACCAUAAAACAGCCGAUAAGCGCCUUAGCCUCCUCCUCUGAUUCUCGCACCUCAGUCUAUUAUUCUUGAAAGGAUGAAACUUUAACUAACUACUUCCCGCUGAAAAAGCAAGUACUUUAUUCUUCCAAAUGAAUAGUAAAGGCCUUCAACUUAAUGCUCAUCUACUCCCGCUUACUAAUCCCUAUUUCCUACUCCGGAUACAGUAUGUUCUCCUGCUUGCUGGAACUCUAUCACAGUACUUAGCACAACCCUUCCUUUCGCCCGGGAUACUUAACAGCUUAUAUGAUCUCUAAGAUUCAACUCAUCAAAAACUUUCUACUUUACCAGUUAUUAAUUGCCUGAUUGUCCCGUUGGAGCACCUUGUAGUGGAGUGAGGGCGGUGCGAGCGAGUGUUUCAGUCAAGGUUCAAGUAGAAGCAUAAGAAGGAUCUUCAUCAAAAGCUAAUCUAUUGGAGUAGCAGGCGGAGCUGGUUAGGAGGUGUGAGUUGAGUUAUGAGUUAGCGAGUGAAACAGCAUUCGAAAGAAGAGAAUUUCCAUCUAGAUCACAUAGCAUAGAAAGCAGUCAAUACCCUGCAAAAACUCCUACUUUGUUUUUUAUUCCCCGAACAAUACACUUUACCCUUCCCCAUAUCUUGCUGCUUCCUUAUCACUUGAUGCUUACUUUGUUUACAGGUAGGGUGGCUUGGAGUGGAGUACCCAGUUACUUACUUUGUCUACAGGUGGGUAGGGUGGCUUUGGAGUGGAGUGGAAUUAAUACUUUUCAACUUCCCCUCUUCCAGUUACUUUAUUUCUAUACAAAGCUCAUAUCUAGUUCUAUCUCUUAAUGCAGAGAAGCUGCAAGUAAACUCUAUUCUUAAGGGAAGUAAAGGAGAGGUCGGGCGAAAGAAGAGUUCGGGUAUCAAGCAAGUGUUUCUUCACAGAAAGGAUAGGUCGGAUGCUAGGAAGGUAGAGUGAGUUCAGAUAGCCUACCGAUCGAUCUUAGUCUGUGUUGGGAGUUUCGGAUAGCCCAUGUAGCGUUGAAGUCAGAAGGCGAAAGUCAGGAGAGUCGGCUGUAAAUGAAGUUGAGUUAGCCGUUGCGCCAGAGGUUGGUUGUCUUAGAGAGGUAAAAGGGAAGGCGAGCUAUGUGUUCGUAGCGAAUUACUAGAAGGCCGGGCUUUGGGGAAGAGAAUGGAGUUGUUUCAAUUCCUAGAUCAUAGGCGGGUGGUCGUAGUUACUUGGCGCUUUGCGUUUGAGUGCUCUUUCUCGAAAGGAAGCAGCGGAAUCCCCAGUUCCAGCUCUGUAGCUUGGCGUCUUUACUUGGUUUCAACCUACUACCACUUCCUUUGAUUCUGAUUACACCAUGAAACUAACAUACUUAUGAGAACCAAACUCAGAACUCCUUCUUUAACUACUAAAAUCCACCCUUGCCCUACUAGCUAUUGUUCUUAUACCUUGGUCACUUAAACUGUAUCAACUACCUCGAACCCCGCUGACCUAUGAGCUUUACCUACCUUGCUUUAAGGACUAAGCCCCCAUUUCUGAUUCUUUUACUACUCAAAAUAGAGGUUUACUGUCCUUACUUUCCAACUUCACUACUCCUAUAAUCACCUUGCUUUACUUGACCUUAGUCUAUAUCCCUUUGUUUUGAUUUUAAGCACUAUUACUCAGCCUAGGUCUACUAUCCUAUGCCUCCUCUGCCUUACAUGCCUAUGUACGAGGUUUACUCUGAUACUCUUGUCUUAAUUACUUGGGUAGCAGUGUAGGCCUCAACUCCUCGUUAAAGGUCUUGUUCACCAGAUCCGGUGGUUAGUCCGAAACUCCUUAGCAGCACUCUUAGGCUACGUCCCUUUAACCUUAUAUAACGAACAACAUAAGAUGAAUAGUAAUAUUGGUAUGAUCAAUAGUCAUGCGCACUAGCCUAAACGCAAGAAUACUGUCUUAUUUCUCUCUCUCCACGACACCGUGAUUCAUCAGUUCUAUACUAGUAUUCAGCAGUACAAGGAGCGGGCAUAGGGAUGAGAGGGAAGAGAAUAGCUUUAUGUGGGGAACUAAUCCAUAAUGAAGACAGACCUCUCGAACUUCUUAUACACUCUAAACGGCUUAAACUAGAAAGACAGAAUAUUUGAUAGCGCUCCCAAUAAUGAAUUAGUAAAAACGGAGUAUUGCUUUCCGCCAUUAUGGAAUGUUGCUUGAUGCAGCUGAACCAACCCUAUAUUUAAAGGACAGAGGCAGAGGCACCUAUGGAAAAGAAGAUUGGAUUAUGAUAUAGCAUAUAUCUAUUAUGGAAAGUGGUUGGACUUAUAUACCAUGUAUCGAGAAGAGUGAAUUCUGACCUUUGAGUGAAAGUAAGCUGCAAGCGAUGAUGUUGGCAAUGAGAAUGAAUCAGCUGGAUAAGAGGCCGUGUCAGUGUUGUCAACUACAGAAUAAUCAUAAGGGAGCUGAAGCAGUUCUAACUUCAAUAUGAGUUCCCGCCCCUAAGUAAAUUGCAGUUACAAGAGAAGAGGAUCUGGAUCUGAGGCGAGAUCAACAGCGGAAGCGUUAGCAAGCCCUUUCGCAAGUCUGGUUUCAAAACAGGACAGUCGUUAAAAGCUGGGGAAGAGAGUGGUGUUGCGGUUAUCAAAGUAUAGGCCCUUAUUGUAAGUUCCCCCGUAGCGAUAUCUUCUAGCUGAGAUGAUCCUAAUUAUGCUUAUGCUUCAUUCUUUAAUUCAAAAGGAGGAACAUUAUGACAAUUCCUGUUUAUUGGAGAGGUCGGGCAAUCUUCCAUACUAACUGUUUGACUGUUUUGACUGUGCGCGGUAAAGAUAAAGAGAAGAAUCCGUUAUCAAGGUAAGGUGCAAGACCUUCAAGUGGAGUUAAGGAUGCGCCUAUUUAAGGGAAGCAGUAAGUAGUAAGCUUACAUUCAUAUACAGUCAGGAGUAGAGUGGAGGUAACAUUCAAAGCGCAACUUAUUAUAGAGGCUCCCACAGGGAUCUUAGUCUAGUCCAAUAACCUACCUAUCUCUACCGAUCUUAUAUGCAAUGCAAGAGGAUUCCAUUCAUCUGUUAUAUGGGGCGCAAGACAAGAGAUAGAGUCCAAUUUCAAUGAAACAAGGCGAUCGAUAGAUUCAGCUAACGUUGGUUUGGUUGGGGCAAACAAGCAAACUGUAGAUUGUUCCUGAACACCUUUCUCCUUUCCUCGCCCAGCGGAUUCUUUUGGUUCUGGACGGUUUUCACAGCAUCAAAUUCUUCUGACCUGAACCCAGCUUCACUGCUUAAUUGAAUUUCAACAAAUCCAAAAUAUGAAUUUCACAGAUGUGCAUAUAGGAAAAGAUAGGAAUGGAAAAGCAAAGAACACUCUCAUUGCAGCUAACAAGCGCCCAUAAAAAACUCCAGUUUGAGUAAAUUAUUAAAGGAAAGAUGACUAGGUUGGUUAGGUACCCAGAUCUCUGAUUUGCAUAUAUAAGUGUAUAAUAUGACCUACUUCUAUAUGAUCUCGGUUAACAAUGAAAUUCAUAACUAUAUAAAGUAUAGGUCGGGACAGAGGGAAGAAUUAAUCGGACAAGCAGACAGACUGCCAAUGUUCGGGGGCUAGAGCUGUGUUAGCUGACUCUUCGGGCGAAGGAGUUCUGUUAGCUUACUUUGCAAGGUGCGUUUGUGAGAAAGCUUAAGUAGGCUGUUGCUCCUUCCCUUGUUGUCUGCAAGAGAGGUUAGGAAGUAUUUCUAUUGAUUGCACUAUUGAUGGCAACUAUAGUAGGCAAGGAGAGCUGUUAGAGCAGAGCCAGUAGAAUGAGUUGGCGUGGUAAGGAAAGCAAGAAUAAGUUGUGCGAGAGGAAACAGCAGUUAGAGUGAAGUCUACUUAUUUACUUAAAUCCGCUAGCAAGUUAUGUCUUAAGGUAAGAGAUAGAUUCCAUUCCUGUGCGAGAGGGAGAGAGCACCACUUUACUAGGUUGAUCAAGAGCAAUAGACCUAUAGCAAUGAAAGGCCCGACCUGUGUUGUACUCAUGCUAGGCUUCGGGGCAAGAAGAAAUCUAAUGCUAGGCUUCGGGACAAGAAGAGAAGAAUGGAUUUUCUGUUCGAGUGAAGUCUGCUGCCCGCCAAGCUUAUACUAAACAAGCAGACAAGAAAGAUUCCAUUCAGAAUUGGAGCCAAGCCAGUUGCCAUAGGUAGAGGAGACUUUCUAUGGAUCCGGUAAAGGCUAGUAACUUCCAGCUUAUGAUACAACUUCUAUUCCCCCGCUUCUUAAGCACUAACUGAGUUCAAAGAGACUAGUAGGCUGUAAUUCCAACUAAGAAACUUGCCUUAUAAUGCAUUUUCAGUUGAUAUAUGAACCCAUCCUUCCUGUAGUCAAUUCCAUUCUUCAAUUACUAGAACAACUUCUGCCCCGGAUCCUUCUCUUUACUCGUAACUUCAAGUACCGGAUCCUUCUCUUUACUCGUAACUUCAAGUAAUAACUGCUUCCAAAGCUUCUGAUCUGUAAGUAAUAACUGCUUCCAAAGCUUCUGAUCUGUAAACUGAAACUAUCACUGGCCAAGCUUAGGAUAGACAGCCAGACAAGACACUACUAAUGUUACGCUAAAGUUGUUCAGUGGAUUCUAUCUCUCCACGACUAGAAGACGAAAACUUAGAACAAACCGGCGGGCUAUUAGAUGAAAGGAGGAAUGCCAAUCUAAAGUAGGCAAGUAGGAAAGUUCUAAGGUGAAUAACUGGAAUUAGUAACGUUGACCCCUUAAUUGAUGACACUCGGGCCUACCCGCUCUUAAGUCAGAAUGAAACCAUUAAGUCAGAGUCGCGAUAAACCCUUUACUACUGCAUGUAUAGAUUGCAGAUUAGCGGUAAAUAUGUAGUUCUGCUAGACUUUUACCCUAUUCAUAGACUUUGACUUACCUGUGAAAUUCUUUAAUGCCAGUUUGAUUCUAAUAGAUUGCAGAGUUGUGGUAAAGAGAAGAUAAGAUGUCUUAAAGGUUUUUUGUAAAGAGGAAAGAGUUAUGUAAAAGUCUCCUACUGUUAAAAUGGAGUCUCUUUGGGUGCAAAUGAAAGGAGAGUAUCUUCGUUUUUGGUGCUUGAGAAGGCAAGGCAAUUAAAUAAGUUAAGAGUUCGGGAAGUACUGGUAUAAGAAUGAGGCUCCUAUCUUAAUCAACCUUAGGCUAUUACUCUCUUAACCAAACUUAGGGGCUAUUUAAUGAAAUUCUGAAGUAUAUGCUUUCCUGGCAGCCGUAGUCGCUUGGUCGGGACAAUAUGUUUCGUUACCGCCCCGGGGUCGACAAAAGGGAAUGCUGUGUUAGGUUUACUUAUGAACCAGCAACUUCAGAUGCAAUGCCAGUUAAGUCUCCGAGAUCAGUAUCUUCUACGAGUCCUGCUCACCGCUCUCAGUAAUGACCAGCAGCUGACGCUGCCCUUAUUUAAGCUGUUUGAUUCUUUUCAGAAAUAAGAAGUUUCAGGUGAAUCAGUGGAAGUUCAACGAAAAAGGUGUAUGGUGUGGGUUUACUCGUUUGUUUCUAUAGAAAGUAUUUCUUCUUAGAGGAAAGAAAAGGAUCAAUUCUCUCUCUUGCCUAUUGAAUAGGAAGUAAUCAACCUAUAGCUCCUUCUCAAAAGUGGUAUUGUAAAUCAACUCUCAAGUGGGAAAGUCAGAAGAAAACCAACCCUAAAAUAGUGUCCCGUCCGAUUCCUGCUAAGGUUAGCUAAGUUCACUUGUCGACCAGUCCAAGCAUAGCAUUUCAUUAAGGUGAAGGUGUUGAUGAACAAGUCAGCAGUCUCAUUUCCUGCAGUAGCAAGUCGGUUGGUUAUAUAGGUUGGCAGUUUACAUUGCAAUAGUUGAGUCUCUUUCAGUUCCACUUUUCUAAGGAGUACUUUUCCCGGGGCGCUAAGAUCUUAAGUUGGCGGCGAGCCGAGUGGUGCAUCAAAGAGAGCCAGACUUAUUUAAUGGUGGAAUCAUAAAAUACCCAUUUAUUAAGCGCGUAAAGAGUCUUCAUCGUCGGCUACCGUCUGGUGAAUUCCGUUUUUCGGCUUACGUGGUGAGCUCGGGCUCGGUUAACACUUCAAUCCUUAUUUAGAGUGUUUGUAUAGAAAGAAGUCAGAGGCUCAUAGCACCUUCGCCACCUUUGUAUAGAAAGAAAGAAGUCAGAGGCUCUUAGCACCUU
rnacentral:lncRNA from 1 species